AGGGCCUCAGAGGGGCUAGGGGCUGUGGGGCCCAGGGUGGAGCUGUGGAGCCGGGUGGGGCUAUAGGGUCUCAGAGCGGCUGUGGGGCCUGAGCAGGGGUGAGGAGGGCUGUGGCUGUGGGGCCUGAGAGGUGGUGCAGUGCAGUGAGGCCAGGUGGGGUUACGAGGUCUGAGAGGGGCUGUGGGGCUAUGGAGCCCAAGCAGGGGUCAGGGGAGAGG